CGUAAGUCAUCAAAGCCAAAGACUCGUACUACCAGUAGCUCCUCCGGAUCCAACUGUACUUACGGAGCUCCGACUUUGAUUGCCGGUGAUACAUACUGAGUUGAACUCAUAACAAUGCCUUCAAAUGGGAGUCUAUCUGAUCAUUUCCUUUGCAAAGAAGAUCUGCCUGAAAGGAUUUUUCAAGUCGAUCGGUACCCUGGCCAUGCGGUGCGUAUAAACUCAUACUCUAAGCCUCGCUACCUAAUUGACAUAUUGACUGCAUUGGAAGGGACACCUGAGCUUCAGAAGCUAUUGUCCUCGCCGCUUGGGUCAUUAUUCUCCCUUCCGGUCAGGCAAAGUUCUGUAUCUGGUCAAUUGGUGCACCAGAUGUUAUGUAGACAGCUUGAUACGACCAAUGUAGAUGAAACUUGGUUUGUAUACGGGGGGCAGCCUUUGCGUUUCUCUCUUGCAGAAUUUCACCAAGUUACUGGUUUGUGUUGCUCU